AAUGAUUAUUAUUCACUUACAAUGAAAAAAACCUUAUGGCAUUUCUAUAAUGUAAAUAAAAGGUUAAAG
rnacentral:tRNA from 1 species